GCUACACAUGCAAGUCGCACGAGAAAGGGGAGCAAUCCCUGAGUACAGUGGCGCACGGGUGAGUAACACGUGACUAACCUACCCUCGAGUGGGGAAUAACCUAGGGAAACCUGGGCUAAUACCGCAUAACACUUACGAGUCAAAGCAGCAAUGCGCUUGGGGAGGGGGUCGCGGCCGAUUAGCUAGUUGGCGGGGUAAUGGCCCACCAAGGCAAUGAUCGGUAUCCGGCCUGAGAGGGCGCACGGACACACUGGCAACUGAAACUAC
rnacentral:rRNA from 1 species